UACGAAGGACCCAAGCGUUAUCCGGAUUUAUUGGGUUUAAAGGGUGCGUAGGCGGGUUGUUAAGUCAGUGGUGAAAGCUCCGAGCCUAACUCGGAAACUGCCAUUGAUACUGACGAUCUUGAGUACAUUUGAGGUGGGCGGAAUGUGUCAUGUAGCGGUGAAAUGCUUAGAUAUGACACAGAACACCGAUUGCGAAGGCAGCUCACUAAACUGUAACUGACGCUGAGGCACGAAAGCGUGGGGAUCAAACAGG
rnacentral:rRNA from 1 species